ACGGAGUUAUCGAGUGCCACGUCA
rnacentral:siRNA from 1 species